rnacentral:rRNA from 1 species
UGGGGGAUAUUGCGCAAUGGGCGAAAGCCUGACGCAGCGACGCCGCGUGGGUGAUGAAGGCCUUCGGGUCGUAAAGCCCUGUCGAGGGGAACGAAACGGUUUCGACCUAACACGUCGGGGCCCUGACGGUACCCCUAAAGGAAGCACCGGCUAACUCCGUGCCAGCAGCCGCGGUAAUACGGAGGGUGCAAGCGUUGUUCGGAAUCACUGGGCGUAAAGGGCGAGUAGGCGGUCCGCUAAGUCUGAUGUGAAAGCCCGGGGCUCACCCCCGGAAGGGCAUUGGAAACUGACGGACUCGAGUCCCGGAGAGGAAGGUGGAAUUCCUGGUGUAGCGGUGAAAUGCGUAGAUAUCAGGAGGAACAUCGGAGGCGAAGGCGGCCUUCUGGACGGUGACUGACGCUGAUCCGCGAAAGCGUGGGGAGCAAACAGGAUUAGAUACCCCCGUAGUCC